rnacentral:rRNA from 1 species
AUUGAACGCUGGCGGCAUGCUUUACACAUGCAAGUCGAACGGUAACAGGUCUUCGGAUGCUGACGAGUGGCGAACGGGUGAGUAAUACAUCGGAACGCGCCUAGUAGUGGGGGAUAACUACUCGAAAGAGUAGCUAAUACCGCAUGAGAUCUACGGAUGAAAGCAGGGGACCUUCGGGCCUUGUGCUACUAGAGCGGCUGAUGGCAGAUUAGGUAGUUGGUGGGGUAAAGGCUUACCAAGCCUGCGAUCUGUAGCUGGUCUGAGAGGACGACCAGCCACACUGGGACUGGGGCACGGCCCAGACUCCUACGGGAGGCAGCAGUGGGGAAUUUUGGACAAUGGGCGAAAGCCUGAUCCAGCAAUGCCGCGUGCAGGAUGAAGGCCCUCGGGUUGUAAACUGCUUUUGUACGGAACGAAAAGCCUGGGGCUAAUAUCCCCGGGUCAUGACGGUACCGUAAGAAUAAGCACCGGCUAACUACGUGCCAGCCGCCGCGGUAA